rnacentral:lncRNA from 1 species
CCACUUCGCUUACCGAGGGAUAUACCACGCCCAGAAGGCAAGCUACAAUGGACUCUCAAGGUCAAGAUCAGGAGACCCUAAGCACUUUCGGUGGGCGAUCUUUGCUCUCCUUCCAAGGUGCUGAAUGGUACCAAAAGGCCAUUUCAGCCUUCGGAUGAAGAGACACGCUGAAAUAGACCUUCAAACUCAACCUUUUCCCUUUACAAUUUGCUUGGGCCAUCGUCUCGGGCGGGGCGAUAUGAUCGGGCCUUUUGUUCCUACAAAAAAACGUUGAGAAAUAGUGAAUAAUUUGCCUGGAGUAGGGGGCCUAGUAUUGUUGUUGCUGUUUGACUUUAUCAUAUUCUUGACUUGUUAGUGUGCCCAAUCCUGGUGUGAAAGGGGGGAGAUGGAUAUAAAGAAAGAAAGGUUGUGUGUGCAAGGCAUCCUUGAAAAGGAGAGGCAGGGAGUGAAAGCUUCCUCAGAAAUGCUCAUUUGGCGUCGUCAUCAUCAUAUGAAAAAAUGGCCGUCUCCAUCGACGUUUUAGUCGGCUUAUAUUGCUCUACGUGUCGUGUGACGGCCUUUUGCUUUGAUGUGGAAAUGCUCUUUAAUUCGCGCACGCAUAUUUUGUGCUUCCUUAUCUCCCCCAUUUGACUGAAUGGUUAUCAGUUGAUCCAUGGACCCCGGGCAAUCAUUGUCUUGGUCCUAUUUUAAGAUCUGAGCUGAAUUACAUUGACAC